rnacentral:tRNA from 9 species
GGAGAGGUGCCUGAGUGGCCGAAAGGAACAGUUUGCUAAACUGUCGUACUGGUAACGGUACCGCGGGUUCGAAUCCCGCCCUCUCCGCAA